GAUGAACGCUGGCGGCGUGCCUAAUACAUGCAAGUCGAGCGAACAGACGAGGAGCUUGCUCCUCUGACGUUAGCGGCGGACGGGUGAGUAACACGUGGAUAACCUACCUAUAAGACUGGGAUAACUUCGGGAAACCGGAGCUAAUACCGGAUAACAUGUUGAACCGCAUGGUUCAACAGUGAAAGACGGUCUUGCUGUCACUUAUAGAUGGAUCCGCGCCGCAUUAGCUAGUUGGUAAGGUAACGGCUUACCAAGGCAACGAUGCGUAGCCGACCUGAGAGGGUGAUCGACCACACUGGAACUGAGACACGGUCCAGACUCCUACGGGAGGCAGCAGUAGGGAAUCUUCCGCAAGGGGCGAAAGCCUGACGGAGCAACGCCGCGUGAGUGAUGAAGGUCUUCGGAUCGUAAAACUCUGUUAUUAGGGAAGAACAAAUGUGUAAGUAACUAUGCACGUCUUGACGGUACCUAAUCAGAAAGCCACGGCUAACUACGUG
rnacentral:rRNA from 1 species